rnacentral:rRNA from 1 species
AGUGAACGCUGGCGGUAUGCCUAACACAUGCAAGUCGAACGGCAGCACAGUAAGAGCUUGCUCUUACGGGUGGCGAGUGGCGGACGGGUGAGGAAUACAUCGGAAUCUACUUUUUCGUGGGGGAUAACGUAGGGAAACUUACGCUAAUACCGCAUACGACCUACGGGUGAAAGCAGGGGAUCUUCGGACCUUUCGCGAUUGAAUGAGCCGAUGUCGGAUUAGCUAGUUGGCGGGGUAAAGGCCCACCAAGGCGACGAUCCGUAGCUGGUCUGAGAGGAUGAUCAGCCACACUGGAACUGAGACACGGUCCAGACUCCUACGGGAGGCAGCAGUGGGGAAUAUUGGACAAUGGGCGCAAGCCUGAUCCAGCAAUACCGCGUGGGUGAAGAAGGCCUUCGGGUUGUAAAGCCCUUUUGUUGGGAAAGAAAAGCAGCAGGUUAAUCCCCCGCUGUUCUGACGGUACCCAAAGAAUAAGCACCGGCUAACUUCGUG